rnacentral:tRNA from 1 species
UCUGAUUUAGCAUAUUUAAUGCGGGAGGUUGUAGCCCUUUUGAAGGUGAAAUUUUCCUGAUCAGGA